UUGAAAAGAAAAAAAAAAUAAUGAAAAAACACCUCACAGAGUCAAAGUUGCAAUAUUCAUGUUUAUCCUCAUCAGGAGAAGCAAAACGAGCUCCAGUAAAGACUCACCCACUUCACCCCAAAUACAUAAAAAUUGCAGUUUGUUCGACACAGCAACAAUGACAUCAAAUUCUAAAUAUGCAGAAUGAACAAGUCAUUGCUUUACUAUAAAAAUGUUUUCAUGUACUUGGAGCCUAGAAUUCAGUUCCACGACAAACAAACAGUAAUUUCCAUAUUUAACCCAGUAAUUCUCAUUUGAAAGCCCUAAUUCUGCAUGUAGUGCUAUUAAUAAACCAAACUGUUUGCGAGCUGCUCAAGACUCGGCUCAAUAAAAGCUCAGUUCGAUUUGGUUUGUUUAGAAAAUGAGCCGAGAUCAAGGUCGAUUUUUGGGCUCGUUUAAUAAACGAGCUAAG
rnacentral:misc_RNA from 1 species